CACGUAGGAGGCGAGCGUUGUCCGGAAUCAUUGGGCGUAAAGAGCGCGCAGGCGGCUUGGCAAGUCGGGGGUGAAAUCCCGGGGCUCAACCCCGUGACUGCAUCCGAUACUGUCAGGCUAGAGGUAGGUAGGGGAGAUCGGAAUUCCUGGUGUAGCGGUGAAAUGCGCAGAUAUCAGGAGGAACACCGGUGGCGAAGGCGGAUCUCUGGGCCUUACCUGACGCUCAGGCGCGAAAGCGUGGGGAGCAAACAGG
rnacentral:rRNA from 1 species